rnacentral:lncRNA from 1 species
UAGCCAUUAGAAGUUAACUCUUCAUCAUACCAGCUCCCAUGUAAAUUGACACUUGCUAAAGUUGCUGAAUAUGAACCUUUUUUUUUUCCUUUAAAGAAUGGACAGGUCAUACAAAUUAGGGCAUAGUGGUUCACCUCAGUACAUUUCUGUAGCAGACAUUUCUAGUUUUUAGUCCAGAGCUUCAUUAUCUGCAUGGACAGAGCCCAGGUGGUUGAAGAGCCUGUGCCGGUAGAUACUGGCUGCCAUCCAGGCUCCAUAAAUGUUAAGUUAUUCCAAUGCCACAAAAAUAACCAUGUUUAUGUUCAUGUGACAUUAAUUUUUUAGUAAGUAUUGACCUCACGGAUAUCAAUUCUCCCCUUGUUUCUUAAGAUAAUUCUGUUUUUAUUUGGGGAAAUACUGUGCUCAAAGAAAAUAUUUAAUAUUCUGGUUGUGGCUAGAGAUGUCCAGGCGACAUAGUCAUUGCCAAUAAAAUAUAAGCAAAAGUGUGAUUUGAUAGAGCUUCUGGAAAACAGAAUUUCCUAGAGUAUUGGAUUUUAAACCCCUUGGACCAGCAGCAUCAAUAUCCUGAGUAUGUGUUAGAAAUGCAAAUUCUUUACUUAGGUUGGUAAUCAGAAAUGAGGGGUAAGUCCCAGCAAUCUUUGUAUUAACAAGUGUCUAGAUGAUUUUAAUGCCUGACACAGUUUGAGAACAAAUGUCUUAGACCUAGAGUAAUGGAUCUUAAAUGUGGUUGAAACUUGGAGUAACCUGGAAUGACUGGUGCUUCAGUUCUACCCCCAGAGCACUUUUAACUAGUCUGGGACAUGGGUUGAACCAAUGCCAAUCUCCUAGUUGUACUACUGCCGUCUAGUUUUGCAAAUUAUCACCCUCUGCUCUCCAGGUGAUUCUAUGGCAUGUAAAGAUAAAAGGACUCAGUCCCCUAAUGGUACGUUCCACACUGUGGAGUUAUUCAGUGAUGGAAAAUACUGAAAAUGUGUCUGUAUUUCUGCUUCUGUUCACUUAUUUGUUGAAAGCCUCACUUGAAAAGCAACAAGGAGAGAAAUGCCAAGAAUCUUGUGUUUUUCCUUAUAUCCAUCUCCCUAACCCUGGUUGUCCUAGAAAAUUAAAAGUGGGUUAGAUCCCAAAGGUACUGAAGAACUUUUAAGAAUGGUAGCAAAGAUAAUAGAGCUAUGGAGCAAUUGAAGAAAUGUGCCUAAUGUUCACUGCAGGGUCCUUGAUAAGGGAGGCUAUGACUUUUUACAUAUGUUCAUGUGGUCCCUUCCGAGCACUCUCAGGAGGUUCUUUGGAGGCCUCCAGCUAAGGCUAGCAAUGGAUUUGCCCCAGCUUGAGGUAUGCUAAGUAAGCAAACUCAGUAGUUUAGAUUUGGGGCACUGUGGUUUGUGGCUGUCCAAGUUUACUUGUUUAUUGGCCUCUAGGCUUUCCUAAAUUAUUGGAGAAAGCAGCCAAAAUGGGCACAAAUGGUUGAAGCAGGGAUCUGAGCAGUGUUUAAAAACUGGGUUGUGGUGAAUGAGCAAGACUGGGUGGAGCUGAUACAUUUAGUAAAAACACACAUUAGCAGUUGAUGUUGGUUUUGAAUCCUAGUAGGGGUGCAUGCACGACUCAGAAUAAUUCUCGGAGAGAGAAUUCACCACAGUGCAUGACUUAGUGUCUGGAGGUAGUAUAGCUGAACUGAAAAACAAUUUACUUUAAGUCAGUUUGAUAAACUUGUGGAAGUUUACUUCCCUUACCCCCCAUUGGCUACAGAGAAUUGUAGUGAGUUAAUAUUUAUUUGAGGCAGUUUUUCAAACUUGAAUGGCAUUCACACCAGUUUUAGAGGAAAAAUGAAACCCUUCAUUAUUUUUAGUAGUGAUGUAAGAUAGUUUAAACACUUUUUUACUUAUAAAUAAAGAAAAUCAACAAUUUGAUGUUAAAAUUUUCAUCAAAUUAAUAUGAUAAAUGGCAUCUGCUGUAAGGGAAAAAAAAUCCCAUUUUCAACCAUCAUGCUAUGUUUUAUUGCCGCAUGUGUUAAACUCGGUCCUCUGAGGAGCAGAAGCCAGAUGAACAUGGAAGAAUUUCAUUAAGAGAAACACCUAUGAGAAAGAAUGGGGAGUGAGCCAGGAAGUGUGAGAGAAGUUUGACCCCUUGGGAAAGAAGGAUGGAAAGGAUGGCUGGCACUUCUGGAUUUCUGGGAGCAUGAGGAAGUGUUUUCAAGGCUACUGGGGAGUUUGUGAACUAAAGGUGGACAUCAGAGAAUUCCUAGUGUCUCAGGAAGGAAUCUGCCUUAGUAUCUCUGCUAGUAUUCCUGGCAUCUUUGUUGUAUACACUUGCAUUAACCAGUAACAGUUUAUUACAAACUAGUACAUAGAUAGGUUACAUUCAAGUUAGAUAGUACUAACUCUAACAACAUAGUCUUUUGAGAUGUAAAUGCCUUUGUAACCAUGAGAUGUUCAAUGAUUCAGUUCUCCUCCACUUUCAUACAUUGUGAAAUAUUAUUGGUACAACAUGUUCAAAAGGUCAUUUAAUCCUCACUUGCCAAAAUCUCUUCAUUUUCAUAUUAAAUAUUUCUCUGUUUCUUUCUCAGUUGCCAGGAACAAUUAAAGAGCAAUAUAUUUACUUUGUGCUGUUCUUGUGAUUACAAGUCAUUUUUUUUAAAAGUCAUUUGUUAAACUGCAGUGUGGUUUCCAUGAAAAUGUUUUUUAGCUGUAAAUGACUAGCGCAAAAGAAGUUUUGUUUUUACAACUGGAAAACUAAUUCAACAUGAAUAAAUGGCUUCCUUUAUGCAAUUGUCGUUUUUAUAAUAGAACAGAGCGCCCUAAUGACAGCCAGUUAUACUUACCAAUGCAUGAAAAGUUAAAUAUCAUGAUGUUAAUAGAUCAUUUGCCACAAAUAUAAGUAUAAAUACAAAUGCUGUGGUGGCACUGCAUUCAUGUAAUGCUGUAGGAUGAUUAGGUGGCUACCCGGAUAAUUAACAUAAAGGAUUCUCAAUCCUAACUACCUAAUAGAAUCAAGGAGAGUCUAAACUGUAUAUCAGUGUCUGGAUGCCGCUCUUCAAAGAUUCUGACCCAAUUGAUUUUGAGUGAGCUGGGUGUAUGUAUGGUUUACAUGCAAACAACCCUUAAAUUUACAGUGAGUUUUUGGAUUUUCUUUAAAAUGAGGAAAUAAUUAUCAUAGAGAGCAUUUGUUCAUUUUAAAAUAUGAUCAUGGGUGGUAUAGCCACCUUGAAAGACCCUUCAGAAAUUUCCUACAAAAUUAAACAUGCUCUUACCAUAUAACAGGAAUAGUGCUCUUUGGUAUUUACCCAAAAUGAAUUGAAAACUUAUGUCCAUACAAAAGCCUGCACAUAGAACUUAUAGCAGCUUUAUUCAUAACUGCCAAAACUUAGAAGUAACCGAGAUGUCCAAUGGUAGGGGAAUGGAUAAAUAUACUGUAGUAUAUCCAGAUAAUAGAAUAUUAGUCACUGCUAAAGAGAAAUGAGCUAUCAAGCCAUGAAAAGACAUGAAGAAACCUGAAACACAAAUUGCUAAGUAAAAUAAGCCAAUCUGAAAAAGCUAUAUACUCUGUAGUUCCAACUAUAUUACAUUCUGAAGUACAAAACCACAGAGGUAAUAAGAAAAGAUUAGCGGUUAUUAGUGUUUGGGAGAGGGAUGAAUGGGCAUAACACAGAGGAUUUUUAGGGCAGUAAAAUUAUUCUGCCCCAUACUACAGUGUUGGAUACAUUUCAUUAUAUACUAGUUCAAACUCAUAGAAUGUACAACACCAAGAAUGAGCCCUAACGUAAAGUCUGGACUUUAGGUAGUAAGUUUGUAUUCAUGUAGGUUCAUUGAUUGUUAACAGAUGUACCACUAUGCUGUGGGAUGUACCUAGUUGAGGAGGUUUGUGUGUGGGGGGGAAAUCUCUGUACAAUAGGUUAGUUGCUGUGAACCUAAAACUACUCUAAAAAAUAGUUUAUUUAUUAAAAAAAAAUGAUCACAGGCCUAACAUUAGAUUAGAAUGAAUGAAUGAUGGUUUGAUUUAGGAAUAAAAAUUGGAUGUAGAUACUCUUAUUUCUAGUUUUUCUGUGCAUCUGCUAUCUAAUUGUUUUUUUUCAAGAUUUACAUUAUUUUUAGAACGUAAAAUUUCAAGGAAAUUCACUGUAAAUAAAAAUUCAUAAUGAUUCAGUGGGCGAAUCUAUUUGAAUUCAGGAACACAGCACUUCUUAGGCAAAACAAUGCCCACAGCUUCAGUGAUAUUGGCAAUUGGUCAGACUGUCCCCAGUCAAAUCAGCAGCUGAUCUCAAGUUGUCACAUCAGUGGGAUUUGUACAACAGAAAAGUUUGGGUAACAAAGGAUUGUAUAACUGUUUCAUAUGAGGAAGCUGGAAGAUUUAUAACCAUGAAGACUGGUCAGUUUCCUACAAGGCUGGCUGUUGAAUUAUAUUUGUUUUAUUCACAGCUACCAGGCAAAAACACAGCUUCUCCAAAUUUAUUAGAACUAUUGAAAAAUAAAUCUUUUAUAAUAUAAAGUAGGGUGUGUUGUUUUGUUUUUACGUAAAUAGAAUUUCAAUAAAAUAUUGCCUCAAAGAAUAGUUUGAUAGAAUUUAAAAUCAGUAGUUUAGGAAUUUAUAGACCUGGAUGCUAACUGUGGCUUUACCUAUAAUUAGUUGUAUAGUCCAGGAAUGAAAGUAACCUCUUUCGAACUCAGUUUUUCGCUGCAACACAUAGAUAGUUGUAAUUUUAACUCAUAGACAUACAGGGAAGAUAGGAGAGGUAAUAUUGUAAAGCAACUGGCAUAAAAGUCGGUAUUUCAUGAACUUGAUGCUUUUGAAGAACACUGGGGAGUCACUUUUUUUCAAAUGUUCCUCACCGUGGGUAAGAUUGAUGCUUCCUUCUGACUGGAUCGAGCUUACA